CAGGGAGGCGAGAGUGUACGCCCAGUUUAGCUAGAUGGCUUUUGUAAAGUAGACAUGUUUUUUUCAAAGAAAGGUGGUUUCCUGGAUGGCCAAAGUUAGGCCACCUGAAAGAAAAAGACAUCCAAAACCCAGCAAACAAGCAGAAUGUACUCAGGCCUGUAGUCAAGGACUAAAGUUUUGCGUUAAACUGGAGGAGUUGCUGACAGAUUCAAAGAAGUUGGUGACUUAAUGGAAGUAUGCCUUCUCUAACCAAGUCCAUCACCAUCAUCUACUACCAUUCUGAAGGCCUGCUAUGUCAGAACACUUAGUAAACUGUAUUAAACCAGUAGAAUUUUAUAAGUUAUAGAAUCAGUGGAUUCUUUCCUUGAAAUUCUAUUAUUUGGAUUU
rnacentral:lncRNA from 1 species